rnacentral:rRNA from 1 species
CGCCCGUACCCGUAUGAGUAACACGUGAGUAACCUGCCCCUGACUCUGGGAUAAGCCUGGGAAACUGGGUCAAAUACUGGAUAUGCACCGUACACCGCAUGGUUUUUGGUGGAAAGAAUUUUGGUCAGGGAUGGACUCGCGGCCUAUCAGCUUGUUGGUGAGGUAAUGGCUCACCAAGGCGACGACGGGUAGCCGGCCUGAGAGGGUGACCGGCCACACUGGGACUGAGACACGGCCCAGACUCCUACGGGAGGCAGCAGUGGGGAAUAUUGCACAAUGGGCGAAAGCCUGAUGCAGCGACGCCGCGUGAGGGAUGACGGCCUUCGGGUUGUAAACCUCUUUCAGUAGGGAAGAAGCGAAAGUGACGGUACCUGCAGAAGAAGCGCCGGCUAACUACGUGCCAGCAGCCGCGGUAAUACGUAGGGCGCAAGCGUUAUCCGGAAUUAUUGGGCGUAAAGAGCUCGUAGGCGGUUUGUCGCGUCUGCCGUGAAAGUCCGAGGCUCAACUUCGGAUCUGCGGUGGGUACGGGCAGACUAGAGUGAUGUAGGGGAGACUGGAAUUCCUGGUGUAGCGGUGAAAUGCGCAGAUAUCAGGAGGAACACCGAUGGCGAAGGCAGGUCUCUGGGCAUCUACUGACGCUGAGGAGCGAAAGCAUGGGGAGCGAACAGGAUUAGAUACCCUGGUAGUCCAUGCCGUAAACGUUGGGCACUAGGUGUGGGGGACAUUCCACGUUUUCCGCGCCGUAGCUAACGCAUUAAGUGCCCCGCCUGGGGAGUACGGCCGCAAGGCUAAAACUCAAAGGAAUUGACGGGGGCCC